rnacentral:rRNA from 1 species
CCUACGGGUGGCUGCAGUGAGGAAUAUUGGUCAAUGGGCGGAAGCCUGAACCAGCCAAGUAGCGUGCAGGAUGACUGCCCUACGGGUUGUAAACUGCUUUUAUACGGGAAUAAUGCGCCUUACGUGUAGGGCUUUGCAUGUACCGUAUGAAUAAGGACUGGCUAAUUCCGUGCCAGCCGCCGCGGUAAUACGGAAGGGCCGGGCGUUAUCCGGGUUUAUUGGGUUGAAAGGGAGCGUAGGCCGCAUGUCAAGCGUGCCGUGAAAUGUCCGGGCUCAACCCGGGCUUUGCAGCGCGAACUGGCGUGCUUGAGUCCGCGGAAAGCAGGCGGAAUUCGUCGUGUAGCGGUGAAAUGCUUAGAUAUGACGAAGAACCCCGAUUGCGAAGGCAGCUUGCUGCAGCGGAACUGACGCUGAUGCUCGAAAGCGCGGGUAUCGAACAGGAUUAGAUACCCUUGUAGUC